CGAGCGCAACCCUUAUCCUUUGUUGCCAGCGAUUCGGUCGGGAACUCAAAGGAGACUGCCAGUGAUAAACUGGAGGAAGGUGGGGAUGACGUCAAGUCAUCAUGGCCCUUACGACCAGGGCUACACACGUGCUACAAUGGCGCAUACAAAGAGAAGCGACCUCGCGAGAGCAAGCGGACCUCAUAAAGUGCGUCGUAGUCCGGAUUGGAGUCUGCAACUCGACUCCAUGAAGUCGGAAUCGCUAGUAAUCGUGGAUCAGAAUGCCACGGUGAAUACGUUCCCGGGCCUUGUACACACCGCCCGUCACACCAUGGGAGUGGGUUGCAAAAGAAGUAGGUAGCUUAACCUUCGGGAGGGCGCUUACCACUUUGUGAUUCAUGACUGGGGUGAAGUCGUAACAAGGUAACCGUAGGGGAACCUGCGGUUGGAUCACCUCCUUA
rnacentral:rRNA from 1 species